AAAAACAUGUCCUUUUGAUUUAUAUAUAAGGUUUAACCUGCCCAAUGAUUUUUAUUUAAUGGCCGCGGUAUAUUAACUGUGCUAAGGUAGCAUAAUCAUUUGUCUUUUAAUUAAAGGCUGGAAUGAACGGUUGGACGAGGUAUUUUCUUUCUUUAUUUUAGUUUAUGAAUUUAAUUUUUUAGUUAAAAAGCUAAAAUUUAUUUGUGGGACGAGAAGACCCUAUAGAUCUUUAUAUUUUAUGUUAUUAUAUAUUUUAGUGUAUUAAUUAUUUUAAUAAUAUGUUGUAUUUGAUUGGGGUGAUUGUAGAAUUUUAAAUAACUUCUAUUUUAUUUUUUCAUUAAUUAGUGUUUAUUUGAUCCAGUUUUAUUGAUUAUAAGAUUAAGUUACCUUAGGGAUAACAGCGUAAUUCUUUUGGAGAGCUCGUAUCGAUAAGGGAGUUUGCGACCUCGAUGUUGGAUUAAAAUUAGUUUCAAGGUGUAGCAGCUUGAGAACUGGGUCUGUUCGACCUUUAAUUUUUUACAUGAUCUGAGUU
rnacentral:rRNA from 1 species